rnacentral:rRNA from 2 species
UGGUGGGUAGUUUGACUGGGGCGGUCUCCUCCCAAAGCGUAACGGAGGAGCACGAAGGUUAGCUAAUCCUGGUCGGACAUCAGGAGGUUAGUGCAAUGGCAUAAGCUAGCUUGACUGCGAGCGUGACGGCGCGAGCAGGUGCGAAAGCAGGUCAUAGUGAUCCGGUGGUUCUGAAUGGAAGGGCCAUCGCUCAACGGAUAAAAGGUACUCCGGGGAUAACAGGCUGAUACCGCCCAAGAGUUCAUAUCGACGGCGGUGUUUGGCACCUCGAUGUCGGCUCAUCACAUCCUGGGGCUGAAGUAGGUCCCAAGGGUAUGGCUGUUCGCCAUUUAAAGUGGUACGCGAGCUGGGUUUAGAACGUCGUGAGACAGUUCGGUCCCUAUCUGCCGUGGGCGCUGGAGAAUUGAGGGGGGCUGCUCCUAGUACGAGAGGACCGGAGUGGACGCAUCACUGGUGUUCGGGUUGUCAUGCCAAUGGCACUGCCCGGUAGCUAAAUGCGGAAGAGAUAAGUGCUGAAAGCAUCUAAGCACGAAACUUGCCCCGAGAUGAGUUCUCCCUGAGACUUUAAGUCUCCUGAAGGAACGUUAAAGACGA